UGACGACCAUAGCGAGGUGGUCCCACUCCUUCCCAUCCCGAACAGGACAGUGAAACGCCUCAGCGCCGAUGAUAGUGCGGUCUUCCCGUGUGAAAGUAGGUCAUCGUCA
rnacentral:rRNA from 1 species